GACGAACGCUGGCGGCGUGCCUAACACAUGCAAGUCGAGCGAAUGAAGUUCCUUCGGGAACGGAUUUAGCGGCGGACGGGUGAGUAACACGUGGGCAACCUGCCUCCUAGAGGGGAAUAGCCUUCCGAAAGGGAGAUUAAUACCGCAUAAGAUUGUAGUACCGCAUGGUACAGCAAUUAAAGGAGCAAUCCGCUAUGAGAUGGGCCCGCGGCGCAUUAGCUAGUUGGUGAGGUAACGGCUCACCAAGGCGACGAUGCGUAGCCGACCUGAGAGGGUGAUCGGCCACAUUGGGACUGAGACACGGCCCAGACUCCUACGGGAGGGAGCAGUGGGGAAUAUUGCACAAUGGGGGAAACCCUGAUGCAGCAACGCCGCGUGAGUGAUGACGGCCUUCGGGUUGUAAAGCUCUGUCUUCAGGGACGAUAAUGACGGUACCUGAGGAGGAAGCCACGGCUAACUACGUG
rnacentral:rRNA from 1 species